UACGUAGGGGGCAAGCGUUAUCCGGAUUUACUGGGUGUAAAGGGAGCGUAGGCGGCAAUACAAGUCAGAAGUGAAAACCCAAGGCUCAACCAUGGGACUGCUUUUGAAACUGUGUUGCUAGAGUACAGGAGAGGUAAGCGGAAUUCCUAGUGUAGCGGUGAAAUGCGUAGAUAUUAGGAGGAACAUCAGUGGCGAAGGCGGCUUACUGGACUGAAACUGACGCUGAUGCUCGAAAGCGUGGGGAGCAAACAGG
rnacentral:rRNA from 1 species